UGCCCAGGAGGAGUAGGAGCAGGAGCAGAAGCGGGGCCCGGAGCUGCGCGCCUACGCGGGACCUGCGUCCGAGAUGCCGGUGCGAGGAGACCGCGGGUUUCCGCCCCGGCGGGAGCUGUCAGGUUGGCUCCGAGCCCCAGGCAUGGAAGAGCUGAUAUGGGAACAGUACACUGUGACCCUGCAAAAGGAUUCCAAAAGAGGAUUUGGAAUUGCAGUGUCCGGAGGCAGAGACAACCCCCACUUUGAAAAUGGAGAAACGUCAAUUGUCAUUUCUGAUGUGCUCCCGGGUGGGCCUGCUGAUGGGCUGCUCCAAGAAAAUGACAGAGUGGUCAUGGUCAAUGGCACCCCCAUGGAGGAUGUGCUUCAUUCGUUUGCAGUUCAGCAGCUCAGAAAAAGUGGGAAGGUCGCUGCUAUUGUGGUCAAGAGGCCCCGGAAGGUCCAGGUGGCCCCGCUUCAGGCCAGCCCUUCCCUGGAUCAGGAUGACCAGGCUUUUGAGGUGAUGGACGAGUUUGAUGGCAGAAGUUUCCGGAGUGGGUACAGCGAGAGGAGCCAUGGGGGGCGCAGCCGCAGCUGGGAGGACAGCCCGGAAAGGGGGCGUCCCCACCAGCGGGCCCGGAGCCGGGAGCGGGACCUCAGCCAGGACCGGAGCCGCGGCCGGAGCCUGGAGCGAGGCCUGGACCAAGACCAUGCGCGCGCCCGAGACCGCAGCCGUGGCCGGAGCCUGGAGCGGGGCCUGGACCACGACUUUGGGCCAUCCCGGGACCGGGACCGCGACCGCAGCCGCGGCCAGAGCAUUGACCAGGACUACGAGCGGGCCUAUCACCAGGCCUACGACCCAGACUACGAGCGGGCCUACAGCCCGGAGUACAGGCGCGGGGCCCGCCACGACGCCCGCUCUUGGGGGCCCCGAAGCCGCAGCCGCGAGCACCCGCACUCACGCAGCCCCAGCCCCGAGCCGAGGGGGCGGCCGGGGCCCAUCGGGGUCCUCCUGACGAAAAGCAGAGCGAACGAAGAGUAUGGUCUCCGGCUUGGGAGUCAGAUCUUCAUAAAGGAAAUGACCCAAACGGGUCUGGCAACUAAAGAUGGCAACCUUCACGAAGGAGACAUAAUUCUCAAGAUCAAUGGGACUGUAACUGAGAACAUGUCUUUAACGGAUGCUCGAAAAUUGAUAGAAAAGUCAAGAGGAAAACUACAGCUAGUGGUGUUGAGAGACAGCCAGCAAACCCUCAUCAACAUCCCAUCGUUAAAUGACAGUGACUCAGAAAUAGAAGAUAUCUCAGAAAUAGAGUCAAACCGAUCAUUUUCUCCAGAGGAGAGACGUCAGCAGUAUUCUGAUUAUGAUUAUCAUUCUUCAAGUGAGAAGCUGAAGGAAAGGCCAAGUUCCAGGGAGGACACGCCAAGCAGAUUGUCCAGGAUGGGUGCGACGCCCACUCCCUUUAAGUCCACAGGGGAUAUUGCAGGCACAGUUGUCCCAGAGACCAACAAGGAAUCCAGAUACCAAGAGGACCCCCCAGCUCCUCAACCAAAAGCAGCCCCGAGAACUUUUCUUCGUCCUAGUCCUGAAGAUGAAGCAAUAUAUGGCCCUAAUACCAAAAUGGUAAGGUUCAAGAAGGGAGACAGCGUGGGCCUCCGGUUGGCUGGUGGCAAUGAUGUCGGGAUAUUUGUUGCUGGCAUUCAAGAAGGGACCUCGGCGGAGCAGGAGGGCCUUCAAGAAGGAGACCAGAUUCUGAAGGUGAACACGCAGGAUUUCAGAGGACUAGUGCGGGAGGAUGCCGUUCUCUACCUGUUAGAAAUCCCUAAAGGUGAAAUGGUGACCAUUUUAGCUCAGAGCCGAGCCGAUGUGUAUAGAGACAUCCUGGCUUGUGGCAGAGGGGAUUCGUUUUUUAUAAGAAGCCACUUUGAAUGUGAGAAGGAAACUCCACAGAGCCUGGCCUUCACCAGAGGGGAAGUCUUCCGAGUGGUAGACACACUGUAUGACGGCAAGCUGGGCAACUGGCUGGCUGUGAGGAUUGGGAACGAGUUGGAGAAAGGCUUAAUUCCCAACAAGAGCAGAGCUGAACAAAUGGCCAGUGUUCAAAAUGCCCAGAGAGACAACGCUGGGGACCGGGCAGAUUUCUGGAGAAUGCGUGGCCAGAGGUCUGGGGUGAAGAAGAAUGUGAGGAAAAGUCGGGAAGACCUCACAGCCGUUGUGUCUGUCAGCACCAAGUUCCCGGCUUAUGAGAGAGUUUUGCUGCGAGAAGCUGGUUUUAAGAGACCUGUGGUCUUAUUCGGCCCCAUAGCUGAUAUAGCAAUGGAAAAAUUGGCAAAUGAGUUACCUGACUUCUUUCAAACUGCUAAAACGGAACCAAAAGAUGCAGGAUCUGAGAAAUCCACUGGAGUGGUCCGGUUAAAUACCGUGAGGCAAAUUAUUGAACAGGAUAAGCAUGCACUACUGGAUGUGACUCCGAAAGCUGUGGACCUAUUGAAUUACACCCAGUGGUUCCCAAUUGUGAUUUUUUUCAACCCAGACUCCAGACAAGGUGUCAAAACCAUGAGACAAAGGUUAAAUCCAACAUCCAACAAAAGUUCUCGAAAGUUAUUUGAUCAAGCCAACAAGCUUAAAAAAACGUGUGCACACCUUUUUACAGCUACAAUCAACCUAAAUUCAGCCAAUGAUAGCUGGUUUGGCAGCUUAAAGGACACUAUUCAGCAUCAGCAAGGAGAAGCGGUUUGGGUCUCUGAAGGAAAGAUGGAAGGGAUGGAUGAUGACCCUGAAGACCGCAUGUCCUACUUAACCGCCAUGGGCGCGGACUAUCUGAGUUGCGACAGCCGCCUCAUCAGUGACUUUGAAGACACGGACGGCGAAGGAGGCGCCUACACUGACAAUGAGCUGGAUGAGCCAGCCGAGGAGCCGCUGGUGUCGUCCAUCACCCGCUCCUCAGAGCCGGUGCAGCACGAGGAGGUGAGGCGAGGCAGGCCACGGGCAGGAGCAGGAGAGCCUGGUGUUUUCCUUGCACUCUCGUGGACAGCUGUGUGUUCAGGAUGCUGUGGAAGGCAUUCCUAAGGGUUGGAGCAGAUGACUUCCAGGGAGUCUCUCGCUUUGAGUCCACGCUGGCAUGGUUGCAGUCUGUGGGAAAGUGGGACAGGCAGGUGGACUUCAGAAGAGCUUGAGGGGUCAGCACUCUGCAAACCCAUGCCCUCAGGUGUGAUGGAUAAACAGAAUGGCUUUAUGUGCCGGCUGUCCAAAUUACCAGUGGAAUAUUCCUUCCCAUGCAGUAUUGUUGUAUGUACUUGUAACCUUUGAUUAGGUUUCUCUCUGUACUCUUAGAUGUCCUUGCUUUUCUUCCCCAUCCUGCCUCUAACCUUUCUAAUCUUGCCAAAGCUCUUGAGUGUUUCCCCAUCAGUUUCCUUCUCUUAUAUUUCAGUUUUUUAAUUGAGUUCAUGAUCAAACCUCCAUCUGAUCACAUGUACUGUGCAUCCACUGUGAUUAGAUAGCUUAUGGGAUCCUUGAAAUCACAUUGACAGGCACUGUAAAGUCACAGCUAAGUUAGCAAUUAUUAGUUGCACCUCAGAGAAUGUUGGAAUAAUGAUCUUUGAAGAUGGGAUUGUUCAUAUAUUUGGAUAAUUAUUGCUGUGGAUUUCUCUCUAGCAUUUUAGCUCAUUCCAGUAAAUGAUUUUUUUCUUUAUGAAAUAGAACUACCAAAAAAAAAAAGAAAAAAAAAAC
rnacentral:sRNA from 1 species